AUCUGUCAUUUAGCAGGUGGGUCUUGUUGAAAUUUAAAAUUCUUAGAUGAUUUUAUAGUUUUUAGGGGACCUGACAAAGUCAGAAGCACUGUUGUUAAAAUCAAAGUGCUGCGUGAAGUGUCUGCUGGGUAUGUUGCAACUUUGUAUGAGACCAUACUGAAAGUCAUCGGGGAUGACAAGACACUACCAACUACCAAGCUGCCCUCCGUCGCCAGUGACGGAGAUUGUCAUGGUGAUCAUUUUGAAUUCUGUAAUGGAGAUAUACUGGAGUUGGCAAGAGACUCCAUGACUCAUUUCCUGGCCUUAUAACUGUGCGGCACAUCGCCUCAAUCUGGCUGUGUCAGACUGCAUUAAGGACAGAGGGGAGUACCCUACCGCACCAAAUAUGCCAGGACUGUCGGAACAAUCUUCGGGUUCUACAGGCCUCCAGCAACAGGACCAGCAAUCUCAAGGAAAUGGAGAGGCUUUUUGAACCCCAAAUCAAGCUGCAGGUUAUAUCAGUAUUCAACGCUAGAUUAUUCACAGAUUUACUUUCGCUUUUGUCAUUUAGUAGGCUGAAGACAUCCCUGACCAAGCUGAGAGGGAACAGCAUAGUCAAGAACUGCUGGCGGGCAUGCCUCCAAUCAGACGCUGGUCUGAAGACUCAGGAGGAUGAGAUCCUUGCAUAGUUCAAAUAAGUAUUCUGGGAGAGGUUCAAGGUUAAGUAUGAUCGAGUAUGGGAAUGCUGAGAUGAGGACCCAGGCAAAACAGUUCCCAAGACUGAGGGAGUCUGACCUUGUGUAUGAGUGGGACUCCUACAGUGAGAAAUCCUGAUCUGAAGGUAUUAUAUAGGUGAUUAUUUAGCUUGUAUCUGAGGAAUCAUCUGAGCUGUAUUCCACCCUGAGCCUUGCAGUCGCAAUCGCCUACAGACAUGAAGCCGGAAAAUAAUGUCUGAGAACCCUAUUGCUAUUCAUGUUCGUAUCAGAAUAAUUCAAUGAUUCUUAAUGCAUGAAUUGCUUUUUUAAAACGUUAGCACCCCUCCCCAACAGACUUCAGGAGAGGUACUUGGAUGUGUGUUGCAAGAUGGCAAUUGAUGGACCAGACCGGGGGGCCUUGGAAGAAGUGCAUGGAAACUCAAGGCUGAAAUGUUCUGCCUCUGGUUGUGAAAUGGUUCUGGUUCUGAAAUUCUAAUGCUACCGAGGCUAAUGAGGGAGCACGCAAUUGGAAAAAGAUUCAGCAUGUCAAAUAAGGAGCAGAAACCAAGUUUCAUUCAUCUUUAUAGAACUGGGUGUGGCUCACAGCCGUAAAGGUUUGACCACUAGUGAUAGCGCCCCCUGUAGUCAAAGCGGCUCACAACCUUUUUGAGACCUCUGUA